rnacentral:rRNA from 1 species
UGGGGAAUUUUGGACAAUGGGCGCAAGCCUGAUCCAGCCAUGCCGCGUGCAGGAUGAAGGCCUUCGGGUUGUAAACUGCUUUUGUACGGAACGAAAAGGUGCCUUCUAAUAAAGGGCGCUCAUGACGGUACCGUAAGAAUAAGCACCGGCUAACUACGUG